rnacentral:rRNA from 1 species
CAGUCGCCGCGGGAAUACGUAGGGUGCAAGCGUUAAUCGGAAUUACUGGGCGUAAAGCGUGCGCAGGCGGUUAUAUAAGACAGAUGUGAAAUCCCCGGGCUCAACCUGGGAACUGCAUUUGUGACUGUAUAGCUAGAGUACGGCAGAGGGUGAUGGAAUUCCGCGUGUAGCAGUGAAAUGCGUAGAUAUGCGGAGGAACACCGAUGGCGAAGGCAAUCCCCUGGGCCUGUACUGACGCUCAUGCACGAAAGCGUGGGGAGCAAACAGGGUUAGAUACCCCGGUAGUCCCUGUCUCUUAUAC